rnacentral:rRNA from 1 species
CGAUAAGCGCCGGUAAGGUGAUAUGAACCGUUAUAACCGGCGAUACCCGAAUGGGGAAACCCAGUGUGACUCGUCACACUAUCAUUAACUGAAUCCAUAGGUUAAUGAGGCGAACCGGGGGAACUGAAACAUCUAAGUACCCCGAGGAAAAGAAAUCAACCGAGAUUCCCCCAGUAGCGGCGAGCGAACGGGGAGGAGCCCAGAGCCUGAAUCAGCAUGUGUGUUAGUGGAAGCGUCUGGAAAGGCGCGCGAUACAGGGUGACAGCCCCGUACACAAAAGCGCAUGUGCUGUGAGCUCGAUGAGUAGGGCGGGACACGUGGUAUCCUGUCUGAAUAUGGGGGGACCAUCCUCCAAGGCUAAAUACUCCUGACUGACCGAUAGUGAACCAGUACCGUGAGGGAAAGGCGAAAAGAACCCCGGCGAGGGGAGUGAAAAAGAACCUGAAACCGUGU